rnacentral:rRNA from 1 species
CCUACGGGGGGCUGCAGUGGGGAAUAUUGGACAAUGGGGGGAACCCUGAUCCAGCCAUGCCGCGUGUGUGAAGAAGGCCCUCGGGUUGUAAAGCACUUUCAGUGAGGAAGAACGCCUGGUGGUUAAUACCCAUCAGGAAAGACAUCACUCACAGAAGAAGCACCGGCUAACUCCGUGCCAGCAGCCGCGGUAAUACGGAGGGUGCGAGCGUUAAUCGGAAUUACUGGGCGUAAAGCGCGCGUAGGUGGCUUGAUAAGCCGGUUGUGAAAGCCCCGGGCUCAACCUGGGAACGGCAUCCGGAACUGUCAAGCUAGAGUGCAGGAGAGGAAGGUAGAAUUCCCGGUGUAGCGGUGAAAUGGGUAGAGAUCGGGAGGAAUACCAGUGGCGAAGGCGGCCUUCUGGACUGACACUGACACUGAGGUGCGAAAGCGUGGGUAGCAAACAGGAUUAGAUACCCGAGUAGUC